rnacentral:lncRNA from 1 species
AGCCAUGAUCAUGCCACUGUACUCCAGCCUGGGUGACAAGAGCAAGACCCUGUCUCUCAAAAAAAAAAAAACGCGGCUGGGUGGAACAUCUGGAAAACAUCUUUAAAGAACGCUGACUCAAUCAGGAGGAGCACCAUUUUGUUUCUUGCCCUCUGCCCUUCCUGCCUGAAACAGAUAAGUGCCCUCUGUGUACCAAAAAGGAAUGUACUGUUUAUAGAGACUUCAAAUCAGCAGAAAAUUCAAAUAGUUAUAACUUUUCUUUAUAAUCCAUCAUGAAAAAGAGUAACGACAAGAAGCUGAUUCCUGCCAACUGCAUUUCCUGGGCUCAUUUAACCAUGCCCAGAAGGAAUUAGGACAAUGAAAGAUAAAAAGAUAAAGGAGCCAACAUAUCCUCUCCCCUUUGAUUCAGACGACUUCUCCACCAUCACCUUCUUCACAAUGGCCACUUUUCCUCUGCAGUUGGGGUUCUUCUUCCCCAGCAAUGGCUCCAGGACUCUGUUAACUCAGCUCCUCCCCAGUUCUAGAGGUAGACGGUAGAGGCUUCCUGCUAUUGUUACUCUGGGGUUCCCCUUCUUCUCCAGUUUGGCUUUCCAGCCCUUCCAACUCCUUUGUAACUAGUUCCUGGUAUCAAAUUCACUUAACUGAACUACCUGACUUCGGCCCUGAUGUUUGAGUGGACCCCAUCUCACACACUGAGGUUGACAAUACUUGGCAAGUUGUUAGGCGAAGAGCAAAACAAUAAUCAUAAUCAUAGAAGCAUUCAUGUAGGUAUUGCAAGGCUCACAUCUCCAAAAUGUCCAGUGGAGACAUGAAAUAAUGAAUAUGUUACAUAGUGACAGUCAUUUAAAAUUUUUCAAAAGCCACUUUCAUUUUGUUCUUUUCUUC